AUCCAACUGAUGAGUCCCAUAUAGGACGAAACAUGCGUCAAACUGGAU
rfam:Schistosoma margrebowiei strain Zambia genome assembly, scaffold: SMRZ_scaffold0000032